rnacentral:tmRNA from 1 species
GGGGCUUUAAAGGUUUCGACAGGUUGGCGAAAGCUACUCUGUGAUGCAGGUCGAGAGCGAGUUUCCUCUCGUAAAUCAAAGACUCAAAAAAAAGUAAAUGCGAACAACAUCGUUCCUUUCGCUCGUAAAGCAGUAGCCGUAGCCUAAAAACUCUCGUCUAAUGUGAGCGUCUAUAGUUUGACUCCGUUAAGGACUAUAGACCAACCCCCAACGGAUGCUCUAGCAAAUGUUCUCUGGGUGGCUUGCUAGUUAAGACUUAACCAGUGCAUCCCACCGUCCGGGAUAAGGGACGGUUCCCGCCUUGAGGAUUAGAUAGGAUAAACCUGUGAAUGAACGGGGAGUCAAUACCCAAUUUGGACACGGGUUCAAUUCCCGUAAGCUCCAUAA